UGGACGCCGAGUACGACCCAUCACUUUAUCCUGAAUUCUACGACUACAACUUCGGUCUCAAGCCCUGCAGCAUGGAAGGCGAAAUGUGCGUCGAGAGCAAGACGGGCGGUCCUUUCUGCUGCACAGGCACGUGCGCCCACCUUGUGAGUGAAGGGGAGACCCAGAGAGGAAUAUGCGCCGCCAACACAGAGAGCGCCUAAUACAACUGUGUGUUCCAAUAAAGUUCCCUCACCCUCA